CGCCAGACUCCUACGGGAGGCAGCAGUGGGGAAUAUUGCACAAUGGGGGAAACCCUGAUGCAGCAACGCCGCGUGAGUGAAGAAGUAUUUCGGUAUGUAAAGCUCUAUCAGCAGGGAAGAAAAUGACGGUACCUGAGUAAGAAGCCCCGGCUAACUACGUGCCAGCAGCCGCGGUAAUACGUAGGGGGCAAGCGUUAUCCGGAUUUACUGGGUGUAAAGGGGGCGCAGACGGCGAUGCAAGCCAGGAGUGAAAGCCCGGGGCCCAACCCCGGGACUGCUCUUGGAACUGCGUGGCUGGAGUGCAGGAGGGGCAGGCGGAAUUCCUGGUGUAGCGGUGAAAUGCGUAGAUAUCAGGAGGAACACCGGUGGCGAAGGCGGCCUGCUGGACUGCAACUGACGUUGAGGCCCGAAAGCGUGGGGAGCAAACAGGAUUAGAUACCCCGGUAGA
rnacentral:rRNA from 1 species